GCCUGGGUGGCUCAGUCGGUUGAGCGUCUGACUUCGGCUCAGGUUAUCAUCUCAUGGUUCGUGGGUUUGAGCCCCGCGUGGGGCC
rnacentral:tRNA from 1 species